rnacentral:RNase_P_RNA from 1 species
UCAGGGGGCCGGGCAGCCGCGUCAUAGCUUGCUAUGCCGAGGAAAGUCCGGGCUCCACGAAACAAGGGUGGCGGGUAACGCCCGCCGGGGGCGACCCCAGGGACAGUGCCACAGAGAGCAGACCGCCGACGCCUGCGCGGCAACGCGACAGGCAGGUAAGGGUGAAAGGGUGCGGUAAAAGCGCACCGCGCGACGGGUAACCGAAGCGGCAUGGUAAACCCCACCCGGAGCAAGACCGAAUAGGGGCGGCGCGCUCGCAAGAGCUAGGUUGUUUCGACCGAGAUCGCCCGGGUUGGUUGCUGGAGCGCGCGUGGCAACACGCCGCCAAGAGGAAUGGCUGCCGCUGGCGCCCGCGUCGGUAACGAUACGAGGCGCCUUCACAGAACCCGGCUUACAGGCCCCCUGACACA